rnacentral:pre_miRNA from 1 species
AGAGGAAUAGCUGGGUUAAAUGGUGGUUCCAUUCCCAGAUUUCCAAGGAAUCUCCAUACUGUUUUCCAAAUUGGCUGUACCAAUUUGCAGUCCUACCAGCAAU